AAUUGAGCUCUUCGCGGACAAUUGGAAGUGGGUUUCCCCUGGAAACUUGGUUGUUUGGAGGUCCAAAGGCUGAAUACAAGUUUGAAGACCAAAGUAGAUGAUCGUAAAGCUCAUUUCCUGCCCUAAAGCUUUUAUCACUUUGGACCUGAUGGCUAAAGAAAGGAGCCAUAUACCUCCAGAAGACUGCUCCCUUGGCCAUAAGAGAGAACAUUGGAAGGACCAUUCAAGCAAGUCUUCUCUGCAACUGAGGUACAAGGCAUAUCAAACCAAUGAGAGAGAUAAAAGCAAGACCAACUAUUAGUGUUCCAACCCCAGAGACCGACUGUUAGCAUAUUCCAGUCAGGAGUUUCAAUUUAGUUCUUUAAGAUCUUGGAAGUUACCUUACUCUUCUGAAAGUAUGACUUCAGGAAAUAUGGAACAUUCAGCUGUUUCCAAGAGCAAAGGAGCCCUUCAAUGAAGCUUUCUGCAAUGAUGGGAAUGUUUGAUAUCUGUGCUGUUCCAAUUCAGUGGCCACUAAGUACACAGGCUUAUUGAACACUCGAAAUGUGGCUAGUAUGACUGAGGAAGUGAAUUUUUAAUAUAAUGUAGUUUAAUUUUAAUUUAUUUACAUUUAAGUGUAAAGAGGUACAUUUGUGGCUAGUGGCUACUGUUAGUGCAGAUUUAGAUUGCUAUCAUUGCCAUAAGCAUACAGGCUCCUAGACUAAUAAUUGGAAUUCUCAUGCCUAAAUCAAGUGAAAGGGUCAAAUCUCAUUUUCUCAAAUGAAGACACAUCAUCAUGGAGGCAUUUUGUUCAAAACUAUAAGUCUAGUUCUUUGCAGGACUCUUGAAUAGGUCUGUCACUCUGGGUUGUCUUCAUUUUCAUCUCAGUUGGAGGGGAGAGGGUGAGUAUGUAAGUCUCCACAUGAGGGUGCUUUCCAGGAUCAGAUGGCAGUUUGCUAUUGGAAACCCUCCUAGACUGAAAUUUACUUGCAUCUGAGGGUAUGUAAUAUGCUACAUACUUACCUGAUUUUGAAAUCCUUUCACAUAAUGUUUAUAUCCUGUGACUUACCACCAAA